rnacentral:rRNA from 1 species
AUUGAACGCUGGCGGCAUGCCUUACACAUGCAAGUCGAACGGCAGCACGGGGGCAACCCUGGUGGCGAGUGGCGAACGGGUGAGUAACGCAUCGGAACGUGCCCAGUAGUGGGGGAUAACCAGUCGAAAGACUGGCUAAUACCGCAUACGACCUACGGGUGAAAGCGGGGGACCGUAAGGCCUCGCGCUAUUGGAGCGGCCGAUGUCUGAUUAGCUAGUUGGCGGGGUAAGAGCCCACCAAGGCGACGAUCAGUAGCUGGUCUGAGAGGACGACCAGCCACACUGGGACUGAGACACGGCCCAGACUCCUACGGGAGGCAGCAGUGGGGAAUUUUGGACAAUGGGCGCAAGCCUGAUCCAGCCAUGCCGCGUGCGGGAAGAAGGCCUUCGGGUUGUAAACCGCUUUUGGCAGGAACGAAACGGCGCAAGCCAAUACCUUGCGCUAAUGACGGUACCUGCAGAAUAAGCACCGGCUAACUACGUGCCAGCCGCCGCAGUAA